GAAGGCUGUGCUGACAGAGUUGUAGAAGUUUGGGAAAUUGUCAUUAUCAAAACUCAGGCUGGAAAGCCACCUCAUCUUCAAACGACCUGCUAGAAAAUACAGCUGACCAGAGAAUUAAAUCUGCCCAGGACUGAUGCAGCAGAACCUAGAGACUGUAAGGAGAACAAGGAUCUCUCCUGUGUUCUGGGAGCAGCCUUGUUAUCUCCAUCCCUCUCCAGGAUCCAGAUCCCCCUUUCCUGCUGCCUUCCAGCAAAGAGCCUGAGGAAUCCCAGCUUGCUUUCCUCCAGCUUUUGGGAACAAGUGGGUUUUUUUAGGUUCAGACAACUAGAAAAGAUGGAUUAAUUAACAGAACACCAG